GUGGCUGCAACUAAUGUAGGUUGCAUUUGUUAUCGAUACAGUGCAUCCCUCUGCAGCCACAGACAUUAACAAGAUGGUUCCUGCCGACAGCGUCUGCCGAGUUAUCAGAUUUUCUGUGCGAUGGUUCCAUACACU